GGGGCAAGAGGUAAGGAGGACCUGGAGAGCGGACAGAGGCUCCCCUGGAGCUCCGUGCCCUUCUUGGAGGAGUGCUAUGGCCUCUUCCCCGGCCUGGAGGCGGCGCUUACGGGGAUUCACAAGUUUCUGUGCAGGGCGUAUUCUCUAGAAGGGCUUUGGAAUUAAGAAGACGAAAGCGCGCGGGGCUCCCAGAGAUGCUGUCUAAGACAGGCAUGGUGGCUCGUGACUACAAUCUCAUCUCCUGAGUGGCUGAAGCAGGAGGACUACCAGGAGACGGAGGCCACAUGAAUAGGAUUGCUUCAAGUUUUUGGCCAGUCUCAGUCAUAUAACAAGACCCUGUCUUAGAAAAUAAACAGCCUGGGGUUGUGGCCCAAGUCUUUAAUUCUAGCACUCAGAGAUAGUGGAUGGCUCUCUAUGAGUUCAAGACCAGCCUGGUUUACCUGAGACCAUAUUUAGAAGAAGAAGAAAGAGGAAGAGGAGUCCUAGGUACUAGGAGUACAAGUGUGUACCACCGCAUCCGUAGUGAAUUCUUUCUUAUGGGCUCUUAAUUUGUUCUGGUCUUUUUCAUAUUACGCUUAUUGCAGAGCAGGAACAACUAUAAAAUAAAAAUUUAAAGGCAAACACAGCAAAA
rnacentral:lncRNA from 1 species